UGAUGUAGGACAUGAGGAAGGGGCAGCUGGAAGUUAAUGCAGGACGUGAGGAAGGGGCCGCUGGAAGUUAAUACUGUUAGCUAGUUAUUUGAUUCUGUUAGGACUUCUAGUUAUUUGAUUCUGUUAGGACUUCUAUCUUUUAUUAUUUCGUUUAAUUAUCAUUAGCUGUUAGUGUUGAGAACAAAUCAAACCUGUUUGAUAUUAGUUCCCAAUUCCUUUAGGAUUCUAUUUUGUCUCUUUAAAAACAUAGAGGCAGGAAGGAUGUUUUCAUUAUUAAUUCAUUCAUUAAUAAAAUUGUUCAUUGAACACAACUUCUCUCGUGGAUUCGAGAUUACAUAGCUUCCGCUACGUCAAGUGGUAUCAGAGCCUAAGCUCUCAGCAAAAAAAUUCUGAUGGCACGCGAUGAUAUUGGGAGUAGUCGUUCGACUGACGAUGAUCAGCGAAUAAGGGCCAUAGCAACCGGGGUUGUUACUGCCGCCAUCAAUGACAUACGUCCACUAUUCGAUGGGGUUCCAUUACUGCAGGCUCAGCUUGAGGAGGUUCUUCAAAGAUUAGAGGCGUUGUCCCCUAAUGGCAACAGGAUAGACGAUCAACGACGUGGAGGGGCAGAUGAGAUCACUCGUGGCCCGACGUCAUUGACCCGUAAUCCUGAAAACAUACCACAAUACCAAAACACACAAUCAUUACCUAUGAUGUCGUCAACCAAUUUUCAAAUUAUUGAAACUGAAGAUCGGGCUCCAAGGAGAACCCAAGGUGACCGAGAUUAUAAACUCAAUGUGGAGAUACCAAUCUUCAGAGGAACACAAAAUGUGGAUGAAUUUUUCUCUUGGAUCGACGAGGUUGAGACGGGAUUUGGGGUGAUGGACUGCUCUGAAGAUCGGAAACUCAAAGUGGUGGCCAAUAAACUAAAAGGAUUAGCUGCAGCUUAUUGGAAGUACUUGAAAAACAAACGAGUGCUAGAUGGAAAACCUCUGAUUGCAACGUGGGAGAAGAUGAAAAGCAAAUUCAUGAGCAAGUUCUUACCUCCUGAUUAUGAGCAACGUUUAUAUGUCCAAUUACAGAAUUGCAAACAAGGGAAUCGAACUGUGGAAGAGUACAUCGACGAGUUCAUUCGAUUAAAUUCACGAAACUUGCUACCAGACAAUGAAAACAUGCAAAUCGCAAGGUUUAGAGGAGGUUUGAAACGGGACAUACAGGAUCAAAUGAAGAUGAUUAAUACAUUCACACUCGGCCAAGCUUUCGAUUUGGCACGAAAGGCUGAAGAACCAAUCCGAACACCAUCUGUACGACCCAGGUUUACAAACCAGCAGUACCAAGCCGGACCAAGCAGAGUAACACCUGCAACUGAACCAACCAAUGAGACAGUGGCGGCUGAACAUCGACCAAGGAGAGCUGCACCACAACUAGCACCAAACCCCUAUGCUAGACCAACACCCUCGCUAUGUUACAAAUGUCAUCAACCAGGACACCGAUCGAAUCAAUGUCCACAAAGACCUGCUGUCUAUUUUGCUGAAGGUGGCUAUGACGUAGCAGGAGAUGAUGAUCAUGAUACAGAGGUGGUUGACGGAAUUGAGGAGGGUGAGGAGGACGACUUCGUUGGAAUGGUGAUACGUCAACCAUGUGACAUUCAAGAAAAAAAAAAUAACAACAUCAACUCAGUGCAAUUUGAUAGAAAACCUGGCAGCAGAACAAAGUGGGAACGAAAAAUUCAAUUGCAUUGUUCAAAGGGUUUUUUUGACACCAAAAAAAGGACUAGAGAUUUCGACUCGCCAUCAAGUUUUUCGAACCAAUGCCAUUAUCAAUGGAGUGAUAGCAAAGGUAGUAAUAGACACAGGAAGUUCUGAAAACUUAGUGUCCAAAGAACUGGUUCACAAAGUGAAACUAACCACUGUGAAGCACCCACAACCAUAUGGUCUACGUUGGAUUCGAAAGGUGGAAGGCGCUGUUGAUGUGGUGAACGAAGUGUGUAGGGUACCAUUAUUAAUUGGUAAGAAUUAUCAAGAUGAAAUUGUGUGUGAUGUAGUGGUGAUGGAUGCCUGCCAGAUUUUGUUAGGAAGGCCAUGGCAGUACGAUGUAGACAUCAGUUUCAAAGGGAGGGCCAAUACCUAUGAAUUCUGGUGGAAAGGGAAACACAUCAUCUUGAAGCCACCCAUUUUAAAGACAGAGGCACGACAAGUGGAGGGAGAAAGUCUCUUAACCAUAGCAUCAAAACAUGUGACUGAGGAGUGCAGAGCUUGUGCGUUACUAGCUCAAGAGGAGGACAUAAGAGAGGAAACAAUACCUGAAAAGGUCCUCCCUUUAGUGACCGAAUUUUCUGAUCUAACACCUGCAGAGCUACCAAUGGGUUUGCCACCAAUGAGAGACAUACAACAUCACAUAGAUUUGAUUCCAGGAGCCAGCUUACCAAACUUAGCACAUUAUAUAAUGAGUCCCCAACAACACAAGAUACUACAAGAUCAAGUUGAUGACUUAUUAUGUAGAGGAUACAUCCAGGAGAGCAAGAGCCCGUGUGCAGUACUGGCAUUACUAGUCCCCAAGAAAGAUGGCACCUGGCGAAUGUGUAUCGACAGCCGAACAAUCAAUAGAAUCACCAUCCGUUACCGGCAUCCAAUACCUACUAUCCAAGACAUGAUCGACCAAUUGGGAGGAGCAAAAGUGUUCUCCAAAAUCGACCUGCGAAGCGGGUACCAUCAAAUUCGGAUUAGACCUGGGGAUGAGUGGAAAACGGCGUUCAAAACACGCGAAGGACUGUACGAGUGGUCCGUAAUGCCAUUCGGUCUCUCCAACGCGCCAAGUACUUUUAUGAGGCUCAUGAAUCAAGUACUGAAACCGUUCUCAUGCAAAUUUGUCGUCGUUUACUUCGACGAUAUUCUUAUCUACAACCCUGAUGAGGAGACACACUUGAAACACUUGAGGGAAGUGCUAAUAGUAUUGCGGAAAAAUCACCUGUACGUGAACAAGAAGUGUAACUUCUUGCAAGACCGGCUGGUCUUCUUGGGGUUUGUCGUGGGAAAAGAUGGGGUCCAAGUGGAUGAGACUAAGGUCAAGGCAAUUCGUGAAUGGCCGACCCCUUCAACAGUGGCAGACGUACGAAGUUUUCAUGGGUUAGCAACCUUCUACCGAAGGUUCAUUCGAAAUUUCAGCAGCUUGGCAGCACCAUUGACAGAGUGCACAAAAAAAAGUGGUUUUCGUUGGAAAGAGGAGCAAGAAACAAGUUUCGUUAUAUUGAAAGAGAAAUUAAGCACGGCACCCGUGCUCGCGUUACCAGAUUUUGACAAAUUAUUCGAGGUUGAUUGUGAUGCUUCAGGGAAAGGAAUUGGGGCCGUAUUAUCUCAAGAGGGCAGACCGGUGGAAUUCUUUAGUGAAAAAUUAAGCGAUGCGAGGCUGCGAUGGACAACUUACGAGAAAGAAUUUUAUGCCGUCUUUCGAGCUCUCAUGCAUUGGCAACAUUACUUGAUCCAAAAAGAAUUUGUGCUGUACAGUGAUCAUCAAGCUCUGAAAUUCAUCAACAACCAACAUCACAUGAACAAUAUGCAUGCCCGCUGGAUCACAUUCAUGCAGAAAUUUACUUUCUCCUUAAAGCACAAGGCUGGGCUGAUGAACAAAGUAGCCGACGCAUUGAGCAGGCGAACCACACUGUUAGUAACAGUAGAAACUGAGAUCACGGGUUUUGACACUCUGAAGGACCAGUAUUGCAAUGACGAAGACUUCAAAGAAGUGUGGAACAAAUGCAGCACCCACCAAAAUAUGAGUGACUACCUGAUACACGAUGGCUUCUUGUUUAAGGCCAACAAACUUUGCAUUCCCAAGGGUUCCCUGCGAGAGAAAAUUAUUCGAGAGCUUCAUGGGGGUGGAUUAGGUGGUCACCUGGGACGUGACAAGACAAUCACAAUGAUCACCGACCGCUACUACUGGCCGCAACUGAAGAGGGACGUGGGGAAAAUCGUCCAACACUGUCGAAUUUGUCAAGAAGCAAAAGGGCAGACCCAGAAUACUGGUUUGUACACUCCCCUGCCCAUUCCAAAAACGAUUUGGGAGGAUUUAUCAAUGGAUUUCGUGCUGGGAUUACCACGAACUCAGAGGGGCAAAGAUUCCAUCAUGGUAGUGGUCGACCGGUUUUCCAAAAUGGCACACUUCAUCGCCUGUAAAAAGACUGCAGAUGCCAGCCAUGUUGCCGACUUAUUCUUUCGCGAAGUAGUACGCUUACAUGGAGUUCCAAAGACCAUCACAUCAGAUCGUGAUGUCAAGUUUGUAAGCCAUUUCUGGAGGACUUUGUGGAAGAAAUUUGACACCAAACUACAGUUCAGUAGUGCAUUCCAUCCGCAAACAGACGGACAAACGAAGGUGGUGAACCGUAUGCUGGGAAACAUGUUACGAUGCAUCAGUGGAGAAAGACCAAAACGAUGGGACUUGGACUUGGCUCAAGCAGAAUUUGCAUACAACAGUAUGACCAAUCGUUCGACAGGAAAGCCUCCUUUCGAGAUUGUAUAUACUCAGCAGCCAAAACAUGCAUUGGAUCUGGUCACAUUACCAAUCCAACCAAAGGUCAGUAGAGCCGGGGAAAAUCUAGCUGAAAAAGUUCAACAAUUACAUUCGGAGGUGCGGGCUAGCUUAGAAACUGCCAAUGCCGCUUACAAAUCUGCUGCAGAUCAACAUAGACGCAAGAAAGAGUUCACAGAGGGCGAUUUGGUAAUGGCCUAUCUGGGGGAAAAUCGGUUCCCUAGACACCGAACUAAGCUUCAAAAAAGAAAAUAUGGACCUUUCAAAGUCGUCAAGAAAAUUAAUGACAAUGCCUAUAUCCUACAACUACCAGAUGAUUGGAACAUUUCCAGUACUUUCAAUGUCGCUGACUUAUCGGAAUACCACAAGGACGUGCCUUUAUAUUCAGAUAACUCGGGACGAGUUUGUUCCCAAGAAGAGGAGACCGAUGUAGGACAUGAGGAAGGGGCAGCUGGAAGUUAAUGCAGGACGUGAGGAAAGGGCCACUGGAAGUUAAUACUGUUAGCUAGUUAUUUGAUUCUGUUAGGACUUCUAGUUAUUUGAUUUUGUUAGGACUUCUAUCUUUUAUUAUUUCGUUUAAUUAUCAUUAGCUGUUAGUGUUGGGAACAAAUCAAACCUGUUUGAUAUUAGUUCCCAAUUCCUUUAGGAUUUUAUUUUGUCUCUUUAAAAGUAUAGAGGCAGGAAGGAUGUUUUCAUUAUUAAUUCAUUCAUCAAUAAAAUUGUUCAUUGAACACAACUUCUCUCGUGGAUUCGAGAUUACAUAGCUUCCGCUACGUCACAUCCAUUCAC
rnacentral:lncRNA from 1 species